GAUGAACGCUAGCGGCAGGCUUAACACAUGCAAGUCGAGGGGUAUAGUUAGCUUGCUAACUAGAGACCGGCGCACGGGUGCGUAACGCGUAUGCAAUCUACCUUUUACAGCGGGAUAGCCCAGAGAAAUUUGGAUUAAUACCUCAUAGUAUCUUUGCCUGGCAUCAGGUGAUUAUUAAAGUUCUAACGGUAAAAGAUGAGCAUGCGUCCUAUUAGCUAGAUGGUAAGGUAACGGCUUACCAUGGCAACGAUAGGUAGGGGUCCUGAGAGGGAGAUCCCCCACACUGGUACUGAGACACGGACCAGACUCCUACGGGAGGCAGCAGUGAGGAAUAUUGGACAAUGGGCGCAAGCCUGAUCCAGCCAUGCCGCGUGCAGGAAGAAGCAUCUAUGGUGUGUAAACUGCUUUUGUACGGGAAGAAACACUCCCUCGUGAGGGAGCUUGACGGUACCGUAAGAAUAAGGAUCGGCUAACUCCGUGCCAGCCGCCGCGGUAAUAC
rnacentral:rRNA from 1 species